AACACAAGAAGACACCCAACCCUUGCUACCAAAACACAGGGAGAGUAACAGAAUGUAAACAUAAAGCUGCUAACGUACACACUGACACGUGAAUGACAUUUACAUUGUUCAGAAUAAAAUCCAGGAUAUUCUCGAAUAAUGAGCCACAGAAAAAUUGCUGUAGCAAAAUAAUGUUUAGAAUCGAGCACGGAUUCAUUUGGAAUGAGAGGGGUUUUUUCAUUAAAAAAAUGGUGCAGCUAAUAAUAAAGUCUUUUAACCUGUAUUUUGUUAUAGGUGACAGGUGAACAAAUCACAGGUCUUGAGUUUCUCUACCCUGCCUCUCUUGGUAACGUCAUCUCCAGUACCAUCUGCUACCUACCAGCCAAACAGACCAACCACAUAAUGAGGUACCAGCUUCCACCCAGCUACCGUGACUAAAUCAGAACAAAAGAUUCAACGCCUCCUUCAACAAAGGAACACAAGUCUAAGCUGUCUUUGCUAAUUGCUGGGUUUCAGGUUGUCUGUUACAGAUUCUAAGUGAGCUACAAACUUCCAUCAAAUACUUAUAGCUGUUGGAUAAAGGUACUAAGAAUAAAAGAUAAAUGGAAGCAAAAGGCAAUGAUGUUGUUCUCCUAAAAUGUGAGACAGUUUGCUCCUUGUCAGCAAGUGGAGCUCAGCUCAGCUCUUCAUCUCCCUGAGCUGCCGGAGACAGCCUCACACGCCUCGGGUUCGGGUGCUUUGUGGACUGACUUGCAACGAUUCAGGGGAAUUAGUACUCCAUUCAUAUAUCACUUUUUGCACUUAUUAUAUGCUGAGUUAGACACUGUGGGUCAUUUUAAAGUGAAAGAGAAUAAUGAAAGAAUGUGUUAAGGAACACUGUUCAGUUUAAAAAUAGGACACUUCUUGUCACAAAUGCUAUCCCCUAACUGUAAAUGAACAUAGUUUGAAGAUUUUUUUUUUCAGUAUGCCAGGGCAAGAAACAUUUGAUAUCUGUUUCUUUUUCUAAAUGAUUGCUAUCCUUAUCCAGUUAGUGAAAAAAUGGUGUAUGAGUCACAGGAAAUUUAAGUGGUUUGUCUCAGGGAAAUUUGGUGGUAUGCAUUUUUUUGACGCACAUAGAAGCUGCUGAAUGAAUAAUUGGCAACCUAUUUAAUGUCCUUUGCUUUAAAGCUGUCUGGUACAUUUGCUGUUUAAAAAAAAAAGUCUUUCAAAGCUGUUAAAUAUGUAACAAAAAGAGGUUGCUAUCACCAUUCUGUCAUGAACAAAGCCAUACAGUGAGCUGCCUGGGGUACGUCCAGUGUGCUAUUAAUUACAGAAACAAUAAUAAAUGAAAAUUUGCAAAGUUCUCAAAUUCCAGUUCUUUGCAAUAGCAGCUGAUGAAUGUUCUAUAAAAGCACGCAGUGAAAAUGUCUGUCCAGGAAUUAGCUAUUAAAUAUUAACUACGCCAAGCAUUUGGGGGAGAGCAUGGAAUCUAUGGGAUCUAUAAUUUCACCGUUUACCCCUCAUCGAGUAAGAUCUCUCACUGUCUUGGGAGCAAACGGAGCUUAAACCAGCGCACUUCCAAGAAGAUGAUCGACUAAGAAUGUGUUUUAUUUUGAUUUGAAAAACUGUCAAUCAUAGAUAAAAAAGACCAAAUAAUAUUAUUCUAUAAUAUUAGCUAAUUGUAUUUGUCUGGUAAACCAGGAAUAUGCAGGGAAGAUGAAUAAUACAGUUUAAAAGGAAAAUAUUCCGAAUCUUUUGCCCAGAUGUUGUGCUGAAAUUGUUUGUCACUGGUACAAGCAAUAGAUUUCAGCUAAAAAUACAAGUAUGUAUCUAUAGAUGUGAGCGAGGCGUGAGAUGUCCAAUGUUGUCCAUAUUUCAGUUUAUAUAGCCACAGCUAUUUAAACAAUUCCAAAACUGCCUCUACGGGUGUCAAAGAGGGAGGGAAAUCUUCAACCACAUGAUCUUCUCUCCAGAGUCCUGUUAAAUCCACUGAACUUAAAACAGAACAAGAAGUGUGAAAUAUGGGUUUGAACAUGUUAUGUCAGGAAUGUAAAGGUUGGGAGCCUUUUUAGUAACUGAUAUUAAUAUUGUAUUAAAUGUUAUGAAAAGGUAGGUGUUGGAGAGGAGGGCUGGGCUCAUGUGCAAUUUUGUCAAGGUUUUUAUCUGUGAUUAUGAUUCCAGAUGUAUCUAUUCCCUGAGGAGAAAAAUGAAGUAAAGUUGGCAUGUGACAUGUGUUUUAAGGUGUUUGGCACAGUUUCCCAAAGUGAUGACAAAAUGUUCAUUUUUAUUACAGUGAAUUGGUAAAGAAAAUACGAUUCUGAAGGUCAGUAGCUGUAUAUUUAACGUAGCUUCAGAGGUUUAUUUUGGGGAAUAUAGGUUUUUGGUGGGAUGUUUGGAUCUGAUUGCCUCACUUGAGCAUCUACCAUAGUAAAUAAUUAAAAUAGAAUAAUUUUUACAAAAUAGGAAGUAGUAAUUACCAGAAAUUCUGUAAAUUCUAUGCACAGAAUAUGGCAAAGUUUGCAAAAAAAAGUCUCUUCUUGCAUCUAGUAGUGUAGCUGCUUCUUAAUACAUUUUUUUUAAUCUAUUUACUACAGACUAAUCUCUUUGCUCCACACUUGGAGCUCCCAUAAGUGAUUAAGAUGCUUUGUAUGAACUCUUUUUUAGUGUAAAUAGACAGAUUUUUUUAACAAAGUGAGGAAGGGAUUUUUUAGGUGAAAGCUAUUUUGCCUAAAUGCACAGUAAGAGUUUAGAUAAGAAAGUUCCCUGUGGCUCCCCAGCUCCCCUUCUCUCUUUGCCCCAACCCCUUCCGUGUGUAAUAGUACCAGUAAUUCCAUGCUGACAGCAGGGCACCCAGGGCUACAUUACCAGGCAAACACUCACUCAUAAACAUUUUACAAGUUCAAUAUCAACCAAUCCUGGAGGUUUGGGAGCCUGCCCUGAUUGGGUAUAUCAUGGAUUUGGUAAACAUGGCUACACAACAAAAAUAAGGUUUGUAGAGAAAGAAAAAGCCCAGUAGUAUUGCCUCUUUCGAAUAAUCAGAGGCUAAGAAUAUGAUUAAUUCCAUAUUUUAUAAGUAAACUUGUAUAGCUCUGUAUCCAUCUGCAAAUAUUCAGUGAUGUGCUCAAUACAUUCCUUUCUGUUCUCCAACCACAUUUCUUUGUGAAUUUAACCACAUCAGAAAGCACUUCGGAUUUCUAACACAAAUAUUAGAUGCAUUUAAUGUAAGGAAGCUUCCUUUAUUGGAGGUGAUUUGGACCAUUUUGUAUUUUAUAGGUAUAUUUAAGAGGUUAGCAGUAGGGGGGAAUCGUCUGUGGAAAAUCUGUCUACAGCUGAAAUUUUUAGAUGCAGAAGUGUUGCUGAAAUGCCUAAUACAUUCACAUUCUUUUGUUAAGUAGCUCACAGGACUAUCCUCUUAGCUACCAGAUACUUUCUUUUUUUUAAGUCAAAUAACAUUCCUCCUUUUUUUCUUAUUUGUAAUUUUCAGCAGUAUAUACUUGGCUUUAUAUUUGUGUGCAAUUAGAAGAAGAUUUUAAUUCUCAAGGGCUUUACUUUUUAAUCUCUUUGGUAAUCUUCUGCAACUUUACCUUAUCUUCAGUGCAUGCAUGGGCAGCAUUCAGCCUCUCAUUUCCUGGGAAAUUACUGAUAAUGAUUUACAAGUUUUCACAGAUUAAUUUUCCAUGGGGUAAUUUUUCUCCAAUAGAACAUAGCUCCAAUUGAAGAAAAGAAAUCCAAGGUUAAGGUAUUUCAGAACACAAUGCAGAAAUUCAUUUCUUGAGGUCCUUGUGUUUAUAUUUUAAAUUUAGAAUCCUACUUAUACCUCAGUAUGGGAAAAAUAGUAUGGAGAGCUUGAAAAUUAAAGGUCUGGUAUUUACCAGAUAUUGAAAUGUGCCUAAUGAAGGCAGAAGACUUGCUCACUAGAUUUAUUUUAAAGCAGUGCUUUUAUAUAUUCAUAAAUUAAAAUGGCAGUUUUCAACGAGAUACUUAUUACUAUUUUAUUUGAUAUUUGCAAGAUGCCUGACCAUUUAAUAUUUAUCCUUUAUUUCUCUGAGCUGAUCUAAUUGCACCUCUCUAUUUUGCAUUUAUUUCUCUUUGCAAACACUACAUUAUUCACUCUCUCCUGUGCUUAUUAAACAGUGCCACCUGCACCAAAUGAAACAAAGCUUCUCCAUCAAUCUAUCCCAGCUAAAGAACCCUGACUAUAUAUUAUAAUUAAUUGAAGCUCAAUUGAACACUUGAGUCUGAACUAGAUACAGUAACCUGAAAAAACAUUAAAAAAAUUAGGAUGUACUUUAAAGAAAUCUUUUAAAUGAAAAUGUUCACUCUAAACUGAGAACCUAACCUUGUACCAAGCACUCUUCAUCAUCUCUGCACAGUACCUCAAGUAGCAAUUAGCAGGUCCUUUAAUUAAUUAACUAUUCCCUGUACAUCACAGGGAUUUUUGUGGCACUAACGUCAUCCCUCAUAAGUGAAUACCAAAUCCAGUCAAUAUUUUGUCACUAUAAACCCUUAUCUGGACUACCUGAAUGGCCACCGCCUGUCUCUGAAAAAUGAUUUCAAAACACAGAAGGCAGGUAUGGAAACCAGAUGCAAACUUUGCAGGGCUAUGCCUGGGGAGUUAGCGGAGAUAAAGCUGGGCACAGGGAACUAGAUGCAGGGAAUCUAAUAAGGCAAUAUUUACAAGAAGAAGAAAUCAGGUAAGAUACAAACUGAAGGAGUAAUGAUGAAAUCUUGUAAAUAGAGUGAAGGAAAAGGAUUCUGUAAGAGAAGCUGAAUGUAUUUUCAACUUUCAGAGUGCUGCAGACUUUGCUCUCUGGGCUGCCCAUCUUUAGCAGUGUCCGCUCCCAGGCAAGAGCAGAUGAAUUAAGUGGCAGGUCAGACACAAUGAGGUGAAGGGGCAUUUCCAGCCAAUCGCUGACAUUUUGCCAAUUUUAUACUUUACAAACUUCUUCUCUAAGCGUGAGUGUGGCUGAUUAUUUUCAAUGGAAUUCUCAUUUGGAAAAAAAUACGAAGUAAUUUUAAGGGAACUGACAUCUGAAAAUGAGACACCAAAUACGGAUUGCUGGGCUUAAGGUUUACAAAAGAUGCAGUAUGUAAAUUUGUUUAUAUAAAUAUGUAUAAGAUAUAUGACUGUAUGAGGCUAUGUGUGUGUGUGUGAAUGAACAUAUGUGUGUGUAUCCAUCCAUCUAUUUGUAGAUUCAGACACAGACAUAUGUUAUCAUUUCUUAGAGGCAAAUAUCUGCCGAAAGAAUUCUUUGUGUUCAGUAGUUUUCUUAAAUGUGUAGUAAGUUUAUCUUGAGAGGUUUCUGUGUUCAGGAAAGAUCUUGUGAAUUUAUGUAAUGUACAGCAUAAUGAACUCAAAUAAAGUAUGCCUCGUGGUUCUGCAAGAAUUA